UCCUACUAUUUUCUUUAGAAAUCAUUUCGGGUAAAGAGGAAUGUUUAAAGCGGUCAGUUUUGUAACUAUAGUUAUUGUAUUUACGUGGUAAUCUUAGGUUAUAGUUUGAUGUAAAUGAGUCUGGAAAUAAAUCCGUCAUUUUGUCAUUAUUAAUAUUUUGUAUAAAGAAUUCAUCACAAAGUCUUUCCCGCCGGUCAUAAAGGGUAGUAAUUCCUGCAAUUUCUAAUGCCUCCUUGUAAGUUGAAUUUGGAACAAUGAUUUUUAAUGCACGUUUCUGGAUGGUUCAAUAUCAUCCGAUAAAAAUUUUUGAAUGCUAAAAUGCCACACUUGACAGGCAUAUUCAAGUAUUGGUCUUAUUACUGUUAUAUAAAGAACGACCAGAGUCUUCAUAUCCGCUUUUGAUCGUUUAAGUAACCUCAGCAUAUACAGGCGUUUACAUG